AUUAGACCACAAUUCAGUGAAAGUGCAGGCUGGGCUGGCCAGCUCUUAGUGCAGAGACUCGAAUCAGGAAACCUAGCAUCAGCCUUUGCAAACAUUUAUCCACAGAGCGGUAAGCUCCAGCCCUAAAGGCAACACAUGCAACACAUUUACUGCUGGAGUGAAUAAGGGUUGGCAGAACUAGCUCAUUGCAUACUUUGGAAAGCAAGGAGAAUUUAAAGCCCAAAUCUUUGUUCAUGAAAGUUCUACAGUUGACUUUGGUGGAUUUUGGGUCAUGCUGUUGGACAUAGCCUGAGAUAUACGGGAAGCUGCACGAAAAAAAAGAGUUUUUGUCUUCUCUCUCUGUUUCAAGAAAGCAAUGAAAGGCAAGAGGUACCACUAGGAGCUGGCAUGGAUGUGGACUGCACAUAAAAAGAUCAGCAUCUGAUCAGCAUCAUAAAAUGGUAGCUGAUGAUUGGCAACAAACAAAAAACGGAGCUUCCCUGGAGGUGUACCAGUUCCAUGAGCCUCCUGCCAGCUGAGCAGCACUGAUGCCAACAGUGGAGAAUAACAUCUAGAAGAUCAAUGAGGAAGGAUAUUUUACAGAGGUGUUAAAGAAAAGGAUAUAAAAAGGAUACUGAAGGUAAAGAAGACAUCAAGACAAUUUUGUACCAGAGGUGAAGCAUCAUGAGCAAUUCCAUGUGGACCAACUGUACACUAAAAGAAAUGAGGAAAUAAAAGAGAACUGAGAGUACUAGCCAUGAAAUCAUGGAGUAGGAGGAGCAUUCAAUAAGAUGGAUGUGGAUAUGCCACACAACUCCAGUUCCAGAGACAUGGAUAGUUUUUGGAGUCUUCCUUCUCUGUGUGUAUGGCUGAAACUGCUAAAUACAAGAGACAAGAAACAGAGUUCAGUGAAGCAGUACUCAGCUUUGUGUGGUAAUAUGAGGGCCAUGCUGAAGGCAGAAGAGUCCUUGAUGGUUCCGGCUGUCUGGCUUUCUAGGGUAGAGCUGUGGGCAAUCAAUUAACUCCACCAGUCCGAAAAGCAGAAAUGCAUGCAAGCAGACAUCAAAUCCUGCUUACAAGCAAUGCAAACUGAAUACAGCAACUUUGGAGAUUAAUGUUCCUGGACCAGAAGGGACACCAGCAGUGUGUUACUAUCUGGCAGAUCUACAGCAUAGUACAUGGAGAUGCUACCAGCCCCACCCAAAAUUACAUGUUAUGUAACCAAGUGAGAUGCAUUAAGAUCAUCUCCAACAUCGCCAUCUCCUGACUUUGAAUGAUAGUGCAUGUUGCUUCUGUGACAAUUGGUAUUCAAGAAAUGAAAAAAUGGCACUCAAGAUUUCUGUUCUGAAUUAAAAAAAAUAAUAAUAAUCAAUUUUGCACUGAAUUUUUCUUCUUUGUAUUCUGAAAUGUUUUGUAGCUGAUUAUCAAAUAAUUUAUCUUUGAUUUUGUAGUUAUUGUUUGCGUAAGACCCCAUUAACUCUUACAGGGUAGGUGGGCAACUGAAAACGUCAGCAUAUAUAGAAGAAAUUCAAGAACUUCAAGCACUGUAAGCUGUAGAGAGAGUUCCAAGUAACUCUUCAGCAACCUCUGCAAAGUUCCUCUCUUCUGGAAAAUGAAUACUAACCCAGGACAAGAGAAGACUGACGCCUGAUCAAGCCGUGGAAAUCUCCCUGAUGACUUCACUGGGCUCUUGCAUGUACAUAUAGAGCAGUCAUCUCCAUCCACUUACAGUCCUGCACUGAUGAUGUUCACUUGAACUGUGAAAUGGUUAGCAUUUAAAAGUUGUCCCUUCUACGUGAAUCCUGCUGUGCCUCACGUUUUAUAAUGCCGAGUGUUGUUAAAUGUUUGAGCAAUAUUGCAAUUGUUUCUAUUUGUUGAAUUUAUAUGAAAGCUAUUAUCUGUGACUUGUUAUUAUGCUAUGUGAAGAGAUUCCAACCCUUUUUU
rnacentral:lncRNA from 1 species